GCGAGAGUGGUGGAACGGCAGACACACUAGCUUGAGGGGCUAGCGGGAGAAAUCCUGUGGGGGUUCAAAUCCCCCCUCUCGCACCA
rnacentral:tRNA from 1 species